UACGAGGGGGGCAAGCGUUGUUCGGAAUUAUUGGGCGUAAAGGGCGCGUAGGCGGUUUGGCAAGUUUGGUGUGAAAUCUUCGGGCUCAACUCGAAGUCUGCAUCGAAAACUGCCGGGCUUGAGUAUGGGAGAGGUGAGUGGAAUUUCCGGUGUAGCGGUGAAAUGCGUAGAUAUCGGAAGGAACACCUGUGGCGAAAGCGGCCCACUGGACCAUUACUGACGCUGAGGCGGCGAAAGCUAGGGGAGCAAACAGGG
rnacentral:rRNA from 1 species